GAGUUUGACCUGGCUCAGAUUGAACGCUGGCGGCAUGCCUUACACAUGCAAGUCGAACGGCAGCACGGGAGCUUGCUCCUGGUGGCGAGUGGCGAACGGGUGAGUAAUGCAUCGGAACGUAUCCUGGAGUGGGGGAUAACGUAGCGAAAGUUACGCUAAUACCGCAUAUUCUGUGAGCAGGAAAGCGGGGGACCUUCGGGCCUCGCGCUCUUGGAGCGGCCGAUGUCGGAUUAGCUAGUUGGUGAGGUAAAGGCUCACCAAGGCGACGAUCCGUAGCAGGUCUGAGAGGAUGAUCUGCCACACUGGAACUGAGACACGGUCCAGACUCCUACGGGAGGCAGCAGUGGGGAAUUUUGGACAAUGGGCGAAAGCCUGAUCCAGCCAUGCCGCGUGUGUGAAGAAGGUCUUCGGAUUGUAAAGCACUUUAAGUUGGGAGGAAGGGCAGUAAGUUAAUACCUUGCUGUUUUGACGUUACCGACAGAAUAAGCACCGGCUAACUCUGUGCCAGCCG
rnacentral:rRNA from 1 species